UCUGCCAUUAGGAGUGGUCCAGGCUGAAACUCAGCUGCUCUGAAGAGCAAUAAUUAAAUCAGCAGAGCAUGCUGUCUGCUUCCGGUUCCUUUCACACCUGUCUGCCAGCAGGAUUACUGGGUAAAAGAGGAUCUCGGCUGGGCCCAGACUGAAGUGUCCCCCAGGAAAAGAGACCACACGAUUCUGGAGGAGCUGCUUCCAGCACGUAAAAGAAGUGGGUCUGAGUGGAGCAAAAGAUGGACCAUUGAAGAUGCUGUUAUGAGCAGCUCAGAUGCUUCUUCAGGACUACAGGACUCAUUCCCUCGGCUUCCAGAAGUGUAGCUACCUGAGAACCCCUCAGGAUUGCCUUGGUGAUAGAGAGCUGCCGCACCCCAAAUCACACCCUUUUCCCAGGGCAACCUGCAUCCAAUGACUGGUUGACAUGGGUCUAAAAGCCUGGUACCAUCACAACUCAAGACGACUCUGAUGGUCCACCCCAGCUUCCGGGCUCCCCACAGGGUUGGCAGAGGCCUGUGAUGCCCCUGCACCAGCCCCAGCUUUUCCCUCACUUCAAUCCUGCCUCCUCCUUGCCCUCCUUCCACAGAGCCCAUCUUGAGAGCGCUCCCUAGUAAGGCUUCCACACUGUGUAACCCCGCCCGCCUCCAUCUGGCACAUACUGGCAUAGAGCAACCACCCCCACAUGUGUUUGGUAAAACAAAUACAUCUUUUGAAGUUUGUUCACUGUGUUUGCAUUACCAACUAAAACUUUAAAUAAUAUUAUUAGAGCAGAUUGAAAUGACCCCCUCCCCCUUCCUCAUAGACACAAUCCUCAUGGAGAAGCCCUGGCGUCACCUCCAGGAAGCCCUCGGCAGUGCUGAAAACAAGAGAUUAGGUCAUGGCUUGAGGCAGAAGGGGGUCUGGGGUGGAGUGCCCGACUCUGAUCUGUGCUUCUGCCCCUGCAGCUGGGUGAGCUGAGGCCUCAGCCCACUCCUCCAAUAUCCCCGCCCUCAUCUGUCUGACCCGCCUGCCUCCUCCCUGGGUUGUGUAGGUCAAGUGAGAUCUCCAAAUAUUAUAUUUGGAAGGACAGUUUAAACUGCAAAAAGCUAUGCAAAAAAUAAGUGAGUAUCACUUAGCGAAUGGCCAAUGAAUUGGAUUCACUUCCUGUAUUCGUGGCUAACUCUGGACACUCAUUCCUCUAGUGUUGGAUGAAAUGAGACGUCAGUAUGAUCUGCCCUAAAUACAUCCACUAUUUUCCUCACCUGGUUCAUUUCAAGACUCCAAUACGAUAACAAAUGUGAGUGUGCAUAGGAGUGAUGCACUGUGGGGAGGUGGGGGCAGGAGAGGGUGCGCUUGAGCCAAAAGAGAAGACCCGGGUCCUCUGCUUUCGCCAUCACUUUCCAGCUUGAUGGCCUUGGGCAAAUCACCUAAUUUUUCCUCUGUUAAAUGGGACUGGUAACCCAAGCUCUGCUCUCCAUACAGUUUCAUUUCUUUUUCUUUUUUAAAAGUCAAUGAAAAUAUUUGGACGCAUUUGGGGUAAAUUGAGGCCAAGAGAAUUACAAAGUCCUUACCUCUUACAACCGGAGAAGUUAGACUGAACCCAGGGUCUUGACUCCCAAACGUAGCCUCUUUCCAUGCGGGGUCAAGUAGUAUUAGGACCAGAAGUAACAAUAGGGAUGCUGAUUAUAACAGUGAUCACCGCCACCUUUACAAUAUCUCAGGCCACUUGGCGCGUCUGUCUUCAUUCGAAGCCCCUCUGGGUUAAGGGAGCACAGCCUGGUGAUGUUAUCAAGGUCUUUAUUUCAGACCCAACUCCCCAUCCACCCCUGCUGCCAGGCACCCUUGGGCAGUGCACAACAGCCCAACUCCACUUGGCAGCCCCUGUGGUCAUCACUUGAAGUUUUGAGUUGUUUCUCUGCAGCAGGAGGACUAUAUGCACAACAUGUUACUGUUUUGAAGGCUGUCCCCACAUGGAAAUCAGUGGGCUAGAGUGUAGACUGGCCAAGAAAGAGAGGCACCAACGUGACAGAUAGACAGACAUCUCCUUUUCUAGAUGAGAACAGGGAAAGGAGGGUAGCCUAGAAACAGAGGGAAGAAAGAAAAGGAAGAGAGCCCAGCAUGUGGUUGGGAUUUCAGGGAAGUUCUCAGCUUAGAGAUGAGGAGAAGGCAUUGUCAAACUUCCUGCUGGGGAGGGGACACGGAGAAAGGACAUGGAGAGAAGGGAGCUUUGAAUGUUCCCAGCGGUUCCCAAGGGCAUGUCCAUUCUUGCUGCAAAUGUCCCCCCACAACCAGGAGGUCUGGCCCUGCACAUGGCAGCCCAGAACCCCACUGCACCAGUGGGAAGAGGAGCUGAGCCUUCUAGGGUGAGACAGGAGGUACUGGGCUUCCCGGCACACAAACCCCACUCCCUCCCCUGCCCUUUCUCCCUCCAUGUAUCACACAUCCCUUUCUUCUGGGUGUGGACCAAUGGCAUUUGGCCUGGGUGGAAAGUGCCCCACGCCCUGUGAUACACAGGGCUCCAU